rnacentral:rRNA from 1 species
CAAUCAUAUGCUUGUCUCAAAGAUUAAGCCAUGCAUGUCUAAGUAUAAGUGAUUAUACGGCGAAACUGCGGAUGGCUCAUUAUAUCAGUUAUAAUCUACUUGAUGAAUACGUUUACUUGGAUAACUGUAGGAAUUCUAGAGCUAAUACAUGCAAAAACAUCGGACCGGGGCAACUUGGGAAGAUGGCGUUUACUUGACGAGAAAUCAAUUGGGGCAACCCAAAUACAGGUUGAAUUAGAGUAAGUUUUCACGCGAAUCGAGGACUUAGGUCUUCGAU